rnacentral:misc_RNA from 1 species
GAUGAAGAACGUAGCAAAAUGCGAUAAGUAAUGUGAAUUGCAGAAUUCAGUGAAUCAUCGAAUCUUUGAACGCACAUUGCGCCCGCCAGUAUUCUGGCGGGCAUGCCUGUUCGAGCGUCAUUUCAACCCUCAAGCCCUCGGGUUUGGUGUUGGGGAUCGGCGAGCCUUUCUGGCAAGCCGGCCCCGAAAUCUAGUGGCGGUCUCGCUGCAGCCUCCAUUGCGUAGUAGUAAAACCCUCGCAACUGGAACGCGGCGCGGCCAAGCCGUUAAACCCCCAACUUCUGAAUGUUGACCUCGGAUCCGGUAGGAAUACCCGCUGAACUUAAGCAUAUCAAUAAGCGGAGGA